rnacentral:rRNA from 1 species
GGGUGGUAAUGCCGGAUGCUCCAGUUGAUCGCAUGGUCUUCUGGGAAAGCUUUCGCGGUAUGGGAUGGGGUCGCGUCCUAUCAGCUUGACGGCGGGGUAACGGCCCACCGUGGCUUCGACGGGUAGCCGGCCUGAGAGGGCGACCGGCCACAUUGGGACUGAGAUACGGCCCAGACUCCUACGGGAGGCAGCAGUGGGGAAUAUUGCACAAUGGGCGCAAGCCUGAUGCAGCGACGCCGCGUGAGGGAUGGAGGCCUUCGGGUUGUAAACCUCUUUUAUCGGGGAGCAAGCGAGAGUGAGUUUACCCGUCGAAUAAGCACCGGCUAACUACGUGCCAGCAGCCGCGGUAGUACGUAGGGUGCAAGCGUUAUCCGGAAUUAUUGGGCGUAAAGGGCUCGUAGGCGGUUCGUCGCGUCCGGUGUGAAAGUCCAUCGCUUAACGGUGGAUCCGCGCCGGGUACGGGCGGGCUUGAGUGCGGUAGGGGAGACUGGAAUUCCCGGUGUAACGGUGG